GCACCCGUAGCUCAGCUGGAUAGAGCGCUGCCCUCCGAAGGCAGAGGUCAGGGGUUCGAAUCCCUUCGGGUGCACCA
rnacentral:tRNA from 2 species